GAUUAACGCUAGCGGCAGGCUAAUACAUGCAAGUCGAGGGGUAACAGGGUAGCAAUACCGCUGACGACCGGCGCACGGGUGAGUAACACGUAUGUAACCUACCUAUAACUGGGGAAUAGCCUUCCGAAAGGAAGAUUAACACCGCAUAAUAUCACAGAACGGCAUCGUUUUGUGAUCAAACCUCCGGGGGUUAUAGAUGGACAUGCGUAACAUUAGCUAGUUGGUGAGGUAACGGCUCACCAAGGCGACGAUGUUUAGGGGGUCUGAGAGGAUGAUCCCCCACACUGGUACUGAGACACGGACCAGACUCCUACGGGAGGCAGCAGUAAGGAAUAUUGGACAAUGGGGGCAACCCUGAUCCAGCCAUGCCGCGUGAAGGAUGAAGGCGCUCUGCGUCGUAAACUUCUUUUAGUUGGGAAAAAUUGUUGGGUUUCUACCCGACUUGAUUGUACCAAAAGAAUAAGGACCGGCUAACUUCGUGCCAGCAGCCGCGGUAAUACGAAGGGUCCAAGCGUUAUCCGGAUUUAUUGGGUUUAAAGGGUGCGUAGGCGGAUUAUUAAGUCAGUGGUGAAAGCUCCAUGCUUAACAUGGAAAUUGCCAUUGAUACUGAUGAUCUUGAGUACACUUGAAGUGGGCGGAAUAUGUCAUGUAGAGGUGAAAUUCUUAGAGAUGACAUAGAACACCGAUUGCGAAGGCAGCUCACUAAAUUGUAACUGACGCUG
rnacentral:rRNA from 1 species